UUUUAGAGAUGACGAUUCCUAUCAGAGGCUGUUUCUGAGGAUGAGUCAAGAGCUCUCCUAGUGCUGCAAAAGAACUGAUUUGCCGUUCUAAUCAAAGC